rnacentral:rRNA from 1 species
AGAGUUUGAUUCUGGCUCAGAACGAACGCUGGCAGCGUGGAUUAGGCAUGCAAGUCGUACGUGAAGCCGUUGAACAAUCUUUCGGGAGAGUGAUUCGGUGGAAAGUGGCGGAAGGGUGAGUAACGCGUGGGUGAGCUGUCUCGAAGUUGGGGACAACCAGAUGAAAAUCUGGCUAAUACCGAAUGUGGUCUUCUGGCGCAUGUCAGGAUGACUAAAGGUGGGGAUUCUUCGGAACCUGCCGCUUUGAGAGGUGCCCGCGUGCCAUCAGCUUGUUGGUAGGGUAAUGGCCUACCAAGGCUUACGGCUAGCCGGCCUGAGAGGGUGAUCGGCCACACUGGGACUGAGACACUGCCCAGACUCCUACGGGAGGCUGCAGUCGAGGAUCAUUCGCAAUGCGCGAAAGCGUGACGAUGCGACGCUGCGUGGGGGAUGAAGGCCUUCGGGUCGUAAACUCCUGUCAUGAGGGAGCAGUAUCCCUGUAAUUAAUAGUUGCGGGGCUCGAUGGUACCUCAAGAGGAAGCCACGGCUAACUCUGUGCCAGCAGCCGCGGUAAUACAGAGGUGGCGAGCGUUGUUCGGAUUUACUGGGCGUAAAGGGUGCGUAGGUGGUUUUGUGUGUCGGAUGUGAGAUCCCAUGGCUCAACUGUGGAAUUGCAUUCGAAACUGCGGAACUAGAGUGCAGGAUGGGAGAGCGGAAUUCUUGGUGUAGCGGUGAAAUGCGUUGAUAUCAAGAAGAACACCGGUGGCGAAGGCGGCUCUCUGGAAUGCUACUGACACUGAGGCACGAAAGCUGGGGGAGCGAACAGGAUUAGAUACCCUGGUAGUCCCAGCCGUAAACGGUGCACACUUGGUGUGGGGAGAUUUAACCCUCUCCGUGCCGGAGUUAACGCGUUAAGUGUGCCGCCUGGGGAGUACGGCCGCAAGGCUAAAACUCAAAGAAAUUGACGGGGGCCCGCACAAGCGGAGCAUGUGGCUUAAUUCGAUGCAACGCGAAGAACCUUACCAGGGCUUGACAUGGGGACCCUUCGGGGGUGGUAGCGAAAGUUACCUUUACCAUCACAGGUGCUGCAUGGCUGUCGUCAGUUCGUGCCGUGAGGUGUUGGGUUAAGUCCCGUAACGAACGCAACCCUUGUGGCUAGUUGCCACCGGUGGUGAUGAGCCGCCGAGCACUCUAGCCAGACUGCCCGUACAAGCGGGAGGAAGGUGGGGAUGACGUCGAGUCAGUAUGGCCCUUACGUCCUGGGCUGCACACGUGCUACAAUGGUCGGUACAGUGGGAUGCAAUACCGCGAGGUGGAGCAAAUCCCCAAAGCCGCCCUCAGUUCGGAUUGAAGUCUGCAACUCGACUUCAUGAAGUUGGAUUCGCUAGUAACGGCGCAUCAGCUACGGCGCCGUGAAUACGUUCCCGGGCCUUGUACACACCGCCCGUCACAUCAUGAAAGCCGUCUGCACCCGAAGUCGCUGAGCCAACCAUUUAUGGAGGCAGGUGCCGAAGGUGUGGGUGGUGAUUGGGAUGAAGUC